GAAAAAAGCAUUACCACUCCACCUCCUUCCUUCGCUUUGUGUCUAACUUCCCUUUCUCUAUUCCUGCAGCUCUCCCUUCCAUUUUUAGCAAACCUCUCUCCCUCCCUCCCUCUGCUAACCAAAAAACUCCCUCUCCCUCUCUCUCCACCUCCAUAACCAUAACACAAAGGUUUGCUUGAUCCUGCUCUGCUGCGUAUGUCAUAAAUCUCAACGUUCAAGGAAGGAAGAUUCAAAUGGCUUGUUUCUUGACGUCUGGCUUGGGGUACUAGGAUGUUGAUGAUGGUGGACAAGUGUGAUCUAGAGAGGUUAAUGACAAGAUAAGUGACAUACUUGGUUGUUAAAAGAUAGAAAAUGGGCACAAAAGGAGAUGGUGAAUCACAAGAAGAACGUCCGCAUUCGCCUUAUUCGGUGUUGCAGCAUUUAUCAGAGGAGGCAUUUAGGGUGGCUGGUGAGGCACUGCAUAGCGUCUACCCAGGAACUGAUCCUGGUUUUAAGUCAAUGCAGCGUAGCCAGAGUGAAAUUUUCACAAAUGGGGCGGGGAGUUUACGUAGCAGUAGCUUUCGUAAAUUGAAAACUCGGAUGCAAAAUGCUUGGCGCGGGGGUGGUGAUUCGAGGGAACGAGGUUACUUGCCGAGUUUUAAUCCUGAGGUCUUGGCAAACCAGAAACGCCAGUGGUAUCAGUUUAAUUCUAAAUCUCUGAAUCAUUCAAAAUAUAAGGAGCCCACAUCACUGUUUGAACACUUCAUUGUUGCGGGGCUUCACCCGGAUGCCAAUCUUGAGAAAGUGGAGGAUGCAUUUGCAAGAGAGAAGAAGUGGGAGUCGGAUAUGGAGAAGUCUGGCUUGUUGGAUUUCAACUCGAUGCAGCGACGGGCACCUUCAUUUCCAACUUUGGAACCUCAGAUACUAUUUAAAUAUCCUCCUGGGAAGAGAUUAGCUAUGCGCUCAAAGGAUUUAGCUGCCUUCUGUUUUCCUGGAGGUGUCAAGACGCGGUUGUUGGAGAGGACUCCAUCAUUGAGUGAACUAAACGAACUUGUUUAUGGACAGGAGCAUUUGGGCAGAGACGAUUUCUCAUUCAUAUUUUCUCUUAAGGUGGCAGACAAUGAUACACUUUACGGGGUUUGCUUGCAUGUUACAGAAAUCGUUCAAAGGCCACCUGGUAUCUUAGGCAGCCAGUCACCCCUUUCUCAAUCAACUGGUCGAUGCUGCCGUUUUUUGGUUUCUGCACCUCGCUGCUACUGUGUGCUCACGAGGGUUCCUUUCUUUGAAUUACAUUAUGAGAUGUUGAACAGUAUCAUUGCACAGGAGCGUUUGAAUCGGAUAACUCAGUUUGUUAGUGAAAUGUCACUCACUGCUUGCAUGCCUUCAGUAUCUAAACAGCAUGGGCAAAUGAAUGAAAAUGUUGACUGUCUUGAUAGAGAGUACGAUGCUGAUUGGAUGGCUUCUGCAAUACCUGUUGACAGUGCAGUAGCCCUUACUGCUGCUGCUGCUGGAAUUAUAUCUGAUGAUGUGAUUCCAACCUUAUCACCAAAGAUUUGGGAACCUCAAUCUCCUGACAGUGUUGCUGCUAGCGAGGCUUCAGAUUCCAGCCAAGCAAGGGAAGUAGAUAAGGAUGGCAGGAAGUAUUUGCAAUAUUUUGAUGAUUAUGCUUCCCUGUCUCCGGAAAACCAUUGUGAUGCUUUAGAAAGAAUUUAUGGAGGUGAUGAAAAUGGUCAUGUUUCUCCAGUACUUGGGAUGUUUUCCUGCUCUAGGAGCCGCAGAUUAGAUCGUCUUGGAAGUUUUGAUACCUUAUUUAGUUCAGUUAGAAGCAUGGUAUCAGAUGAUGAUGAUGACGAACUUUUCCCAGAUCAUGAAAAAGAUUUUGGUGAUGACUUGAUAUUGGAAUGGGCUAAGGAAAACAAAAAUGAUUUGCUACAGAUAAUUUGUGGUUAUCAUGCAAUGCCUCUUCCCCAACGAGGAAACGGGAUAGUUUUUCAGCCUCUUGAUCAUUUACAAGCUAUCGAGUAUAAGCGGCCUCCAACCUCUGACCUUGGAUUUUGCAAUAGUUAUCUAGCUUCAUUCAAAGCAGCCGAGGUCAAUGCGAAGUUAGCUGCUGCUGAGGAAGCUCUUGCGCUGUCAAUAUGGACAACUGCAACUGUAUGUCGGGUUCUGUCACUGGAAAAUGUUCUGGCACUGGUUGCAGGCGUAUUACUGGAAAAACAAGUGGUGGUAGUGUGCCCAAACCUGGGUGUUUUAUCUGCAGUCGUUUUAUCCCUUGUCCCCAUGAUUCGUCCAUUUCAAUGGCAGAGUUUAUUGCUUCCAAUCUUGCCACGGCAGAUGCUUGAUUUUCUUGAUGCUCCUGUUCCCUUUAUAGAUGUCAUCAUCUUGUCCUUUCUGUGAUCACAAGUCAAAUGGGCAAGCAACAUUUUAAAGGAUUGGAGAUGAUAGAAGAGAAUUGAGAUUUUAACGUUGAGUCUGGCAUCAAAUGGUGGCUGGAAGUUCUAUUGUUGGCCACGUGUUGGGCUGUUGCCAGUUUUGGAUGCUUCUGAAGGGAGUUUCCUUCCAUCUCCAGAAAAAUCCUUUGUCAGUUUGUAGCCGAAGAGCUCGCAAACUUUGAAUUACUGGGAAUCAAUUACUUGUCAGUCUGGCAAAAUGUCACUUCUUGGUCAUUAACUGGGUUGUUUCAUGCCCUAGUUUACUUGGAGCACUGAAUAAGGGGUUCAAUCGAAGGAAGAAGUCUGAAAACAAUCCAGGACUGAUCAGGUGUUGUGAAAGACCUUACAGCAACUUCUCUUUUUGGAACUGCUGAUCUGACCUGCAUGUAACUGGGUGUGAUGAGGUUGGACUGGUUUAUGUCAGUACUUAGGAUGGCUAGAAGACCCCCCCCUCCCCCCCCCCAAAUCUCUUCUCCACUAACUACAGGGAAAAUUACAAGGUUUCGGAGUUGAUGCAUGCUGGAAAGUUGAAAUGAUGAUUUAGCAUGGACAAGCUGGCCUGGAAUAAGGGUUGAUAUAUCAUGAGGCUGAAACGCAAGAUUAACAUAUUAUUUCAUUUCUUCAGGCAUAAAUAUGUCUUGCCAUGAAGGUUUGGUUGAGUUUAACAUUUUUGCUCAUCUCUUCGGGCGUAAAUUGUCAAGGUGUUGGAAACUUUUUUUAUGAGCCUUACUGAACCUUUCAAUCAAGUUCAAAAUCUUCCACUCAAGAUUGAGAAAAGCUCAUUGCAAAGUGAGUAAGACCGUGAUUCAUUUUUUCCGGUAGAGGUCGAUGCUUAAACAGGAGAAUGUAUCACCCAACAAGGCAGAUGUCCUUGAAAAAAAAGACCAGAACGGUAUAUAUAGAUUAAGCACUGGGAGGUGGGUUUUUUGCCCCAGAUUUUUUUGAGGGAUCAGCUUAGUAGGACAUGGGCAAAGGUUGGUAUACAGCACAGACCUGCUGACUUGAAGAUAAAAACCUCUAACCUUGUUCAUGUUAAUGUGCUCAAAAACCAGGUGAAAAUGUGUCACUUGCCAACACUUCCACGGUAUAAAGAGCUUGUUUCUGAACUUCGGCCAUUGCAC